GGAGUGGUAGUUCAGUUGGUUAGAAUACCGGCCUGUCACGCCGGGGGUCGCGGGUUCGAGUCCCGUCCACGCCGCCA
rnacentral:tRNA from 1 species